rnacentral:rRNA from 1 species
CAUGCCGGUCGAAGAUACCAGGCCGCUGCGACUGUUUAUUAAAAACACAGCACUCUGCAAACACGAAAGUGGACGUAUAGGGUGUGACGCCUGCCCGGUGCCGGAAGGUUAAUUGAUGGGGUUAGCGCAAGCGAAGCUCUUGAUCGAAGCCCCGGUAAACGGCGGCCGUAACUAUAACGGUCCUAAGGUAGCGAAAUUCCUUGUCGGGUAAGUUCCGACCUGCACGAAUGGCGUAACGAUGGCGGCGCUGUCUCCACCCGAGACUCAGUGAAAUUGAAAUCGCUGUGAAGAUGCAGUGUAUCCGCGGCUAGACGGAAAGACCCCGUGAACCUUUACUAUAGCUUUGCACUGGACUUUGAAUUUGCUUGUGUAGGAUAGGUGGGAGGCUUUGAAGCGUGGACGCCAGUCUGCGUGGAGCCAACCUUGAAAUACCACCCUGGCAACUUUGAGGUUCUAACUCAGGUCCGUUAUCCGGAUCGAGGACAGUGUAUGGUGGGUAGUUUGACUGGGGCGGUCUCCUCCUAAAGAGUAACGGAGGAGUACGAAGGUGCGCUCAGACCGGUCGGAAAUCGGUCGUAGAGUAUAAAGGCAAAAGCGCGCUUGACUGCGAGACAGACACGUCGAGCAGGUACGAAAGUAGGUCUUAGUGAUCCGGUGGUUCUGUAUGGAAGGGCCAUCGCUCAACGGCUAAAAGGUACUCCGGGGAUAACAGGCUGCUACCGCCCCCGAGUUCCUCUCGCCGGCGGUGUUUGGCACCUCGAUGUCGGCUCAUCACAUCCUGGGGCUGAAGCCGGUCCCAAGGGUAUGGCUGUUCGCCAUUUAAAGUGGUACGCGAGCUGGGUUUAGAACGUCGUGAGACAGUUCGGUCCCUAUCUGCCGUGGACGUUUGAGAUUUGAGAGGGGCUGCUCCUAGUACGAGAGGACCGGAGUGGACGAACCUCUGGUGUUCCGGUUGUCACGCCAGUGGCAUUGCCGGGUAGCUAUGUUCGGAAAAGAUAACCGCUGAAAGCAUCUAAGCGGGAAACUUGCCUCAAGAUGAGAUCUCACUGGAACCUUGAGUUCCCUAAAGGGCCGUCGAAGACUACGACGUUGAUAGGUUGGGUGUGUAAGCGCUGUGAGGCGUUGAGCUAACCAAUACUAAUUGCCCGUGAGGCUUGACCAUAUAACACCCAAGCAAUU